GAGAAGUUUUAUUCUUGCUUUGUCGUUCAGUUUUUGUUUGUUUUAUAUGUAAGUUUAUGCGUGAUUUUUCUUGUGUUUCUAGAUGGGGUAUGAGGGUUGGUAAGAUAUUUAUGUUAUUCUCAUUAGUUGUUAUUGGUUGGUCAAGUAUUUUUGUAUUUAGCAAUUCAUUUUAGUUUCGGUUAAAUUUUGUGCCAGCAACCGCGGUUAUACCUUGGAGGCUCUUGAAUGUGUUCGGCAUUAAUGUAGUUUUAUGAUUUAUUUGUUUGAUUUUAUUUUUAUGGUUUGUUAGGUGAAAUUUUUAUUGUUGUUUAUUUUGUUUUGUUUUUUGUAGGCUAUGAAAUUCUUUUUGUAAACUAGGAUUAGAUACCCUAUUAUUUUUGAAUGUUAAUUUCGUUGUGUCUGAGUAGUAUUAGUUAUGUUCUUGAAACUUAAAGAAUUUGGCGGUAUCUUAUUCCAUCCAGAGGAAUCUGUCCCGUUAUCGAUAGUCCGCGUUGGACCUUACUUAGUUGCUUUGGUUUGUAUACCGCUGUUUUGAUUAUCUUUUCAGAGUUUAUUUAAUUUUCUAGUUUCUUUAUUUUGAUUUAUUUCAGGUCAAGGUGCAGCUUAUUUCUAAGUGGAUGAUGGAUUACAUUGAUAUUUGUUUUGUUGGAUUGUUGGUUUUAAUAUUGGCAUGAAAUUGGAUUUGGUUGUAAUGUUUUGUAGAUUGUUUUCAUGAUAAUUGGUUCUGGGAUAUGUACACAUCGCCCGUCGCUCUCGUUUAUUUUAAUGAGAUAAGUCGUAACAAAGUGGUUGUACCGGAAGGUGCGGCUAGGAUUGA
rnacentral:ncRNA from 1 species